UCCAGUAGCCAUAUCACUCUGCAACUCACAACUGGCAGCCCACUGCAGCUCAGCAGGUGUGAGCCUGGUCAGUACCUGGAUGGGAGACCUCCUGGGAAAAUCUAAGGUUGCUGCUGGAA
rnacentral:rRNA from 1 species